rnacentral:ncRNA from 1 species
AUCAAACACUAUAGAGAUGAGUAAAUGUCCUAGCGUAAUAACAGAGAGCCUGCAGUCGCUGAAAGCAGGUUUACCCAAAGACAUUGAAUAUGGUCUCUUCCCUGCUGAUUCCUUUCAGUCAGUUGUCAUAGUGGGAUACCGAGUCUAUUAAGAUAAGGCUAUCACGGCUGCAUCCGUUAUCUUGCACGAGUAUAAAUCUUUUGUACUUAGUGAGGUAAGAUUCGUGAGGAUCUUACAAACAAAGGUGGUAACACGACAACAUUCGUCCUUUGA